rnacentral:rRNA from 1 species
UACGUAGGGUGCGAGCGUUAAUCGGAAUUACUGGGCGUAAAGGGUGCGUAGGCGGUUUGUCGUGUCUGGUGUGAAAUCCCCGGGCUCAACCUGGGAAUGGCAUUGGAAACUGGCAGACUAGAGUGUGGCAGAGGGAGGUGGAAUUCCGCGUGUAGCAGUGAAAUGCGUAGAGAUGCGGAGGAACACCGAUGGCGAAGGCAGCCUCCUGGGCUAACACUGACGCUGAGGCACGAAAGCGUGGGGAGCAAACAGG